CACAUAUGAGUGAAAUCGUAUGGUAUUUGUCUUUCUCCAUCUGACUUAUUCCACUUAACAUAAUACCCUCAAGGUCCAUCCAUGUUAUCAUGAAUGGCAGGAUUUCAUUCUUUUUUUAUGGAUGUGGCGUCUGGAGAUGCAGCAUCCAUUUUGCAAAAAUGUGGCAGUAAGCAUGAGGGAAAGGUCAAGAGAAUCAGAGACACUGCCAUGACAUCAACAGGCUGCUGAACCAAAGUCAGCACCUAUUUGCCUCCAGAUAUCUUCUUCUGUGACAAAAUAAACCCUUCUUGGUUUAAUUUACUAUACAGAGAAACAGAACUAAUAAGAUGUGUCUAUAUAUAGAAAGAGAUUUAUUUUAAGGAAUUGGUUCACAUGAUUUAUAGGGUUGGCAAGUCCAAAACUGCAGGGUGGGCCAGCGACUGAAGACCUAAGGAAAAGUUGAUGCUGCAGUUCAAGUCCAAAGGCCAUUUGCUGACAGAUGCUUGGGGGAGGCUGUCUCAUGAGAGUAUCAACAAUCAGUUUCAAACAGAAUCCAACCACAAAUACUUCUCCACAUGUGACUUGGAACAUCUGUCCUGCUCGAGUACCGUCCAUAUCAGGCGAGAGCUGGUCUGCCUUUGAUUCUUACUCUCCUAAAAUCCUUUGUCCUACUUCCCACACUGGACAUGAGAUAGGGUGAAAACCAUCUUCUCAAGAGCCAGCCUUAAGCAAGUCCUUCGCUUCCCCUCACUGAAGACUGCAGACCCUUUCUGAUGGAGACAAAUGCUGCACUCCAGGGAUAUCACUGACUCAGUGAUUUAUGUGGCAUUUUCCCUAAUGAAUCAAGAUGAAAGCUUUGAUCUAGAAAAAAAAU